GAUGAACGCUGGCGGCGUGCCUAAUACAUGCAAGUCGAGCGAACAGACGAGGAGCUUGCUCCUCUGACGUUAGCGGCGGACGGGUGAGUAACACGUGGAUAGCCUACCUAUAAGACUGGGAUAACUUCGGGAAACCGGAGCUAAUACCGGAUAAUAUAUUGAACCGCAUGGUUCAAUAGUGAAAGACGGUUUUGCUGUCACUUAUAGAUGGAUCCGCGCCGCAUUAGCUAGUUGGUAAGGUAACGGCUUACCAAGGCAACGAUGCGUAGCCGACCUGAGAGGGUGAUCGGCCACACUGGAACUGAGACACGGUCCAGACUCCUACGGGAGGCAGCAGUAGGGAAUCUUCCGCAAUGGGCGAAAGCCUGACGGAGCAACGCCGCGUGAGUGAUGUAGGUCUUCGGAUCGUAAAACUCUGUUAUUAGGGAAGAACAAAUGUGUAAGUAACUAUGCACGUCUUGACGGUACCUAAUCAGAAAGCCACGGCUAACUACGUG
rnacentral:rRNA from 1 species